rnacentral:misc_RNA from 1 species
UCUCCGUUGGUGAACCAGCGGAGGGAUCAUUAUCGAGUUAUACAACUCCCCAACCCUAUGUGAACUUACCACUUGUUGCUUCGGCGCGCGCUUCGGCGCCGCCGAGGACACUUAAACUCUUUGUUUUUAUAGGCAUUUCUGAGUGGCCGAAAGGCAAAAAUACAAAUGAAUCAAAACUUUCAACAACGGAUCUCUUGGUUCUG